rnacentral:lncRNA from 1 species
UGUAUUCUAAACCGUGUUGUUUACAAAGUGUGAGUUUUUAAGGUUUAGAGUUUGUGUCUUUUGUCAGCCUUUCUUGUGUCAAUUUGAUGCAAGUUUAGGACUGUAUUUUGGUUGUUAAUUGUAAGCUACUCCUAAGCUUUGAAUCACGGAGUUAGUGUGUGUGAUUCACUCAUAAGCUUUUAAGCAAGAGUGUGGUCUAGUUUCUAGGAGAGUGUCUCCAUCUUGAUUAUUAUUAUUGACAGCAACAUGGUACGUGUUGUUAGAGGGAAUUUGGG